rnacentral:tRNA from 1 species
AUCAGGGUUUAAUAAAAUAUUGUUUUCUUUUACAUUGAAAAAUUUUUUUGUGUGAUUCAAAAAGCUCUGAUU